ACGCUCGACACCUACGGGAGGUAGCAGUGGGGAAUAUUGCACAAUGGAGGAAACUCUGAUGCAGCGAUGCCGCGUGAGGGAAGAAGGUUUUCGGAUUGUAAACCUCUGUCUUUGGGGACGAUAAUGACGGUACCCAAGGAGGAAGCUCCGGCUAACUACGUGCCAGCAGCCGAGGUAAUCUGAGCGGGCUGGCAAGGC
rnacentral:rRNA from 1 species